UUCACACAUGACUGCAAAACCCUUUGGAUAAAAGUGUCUGCUAAAUGGCAGAUA
rfam:Salmo salar isolate Sally breed double haploid chromosome ssa07, whole genome shotgun sequence.